AACCGGGAGAUAGCUGGUUCUCCCCGAAAGCUAUUUAGGUAGCGCCUCGUGAAUUCAUCUCCGGGGGUAGAGCACUGUUUCGGCUAGGGGGCCAUCCCGGCUUACCAACCCGAUGCAAACUGCGAAUACCGGAGAAUGUUAUCACGGGAGACACACGGCGGGUGCUAACGUCCGUCGUGAAGAGGGAAACAACCCAGACCGCCAGCUAAGGUCCCAAAGUCAUGGUUAAGUGGGAAACGAUGUGGGAAGGCCCAGACAGCCAGGAUGUUGGCUUAGAAGCAGCCAUCAUUUAAAGAAAGCGUAAUAGCUCACUGGUCGAGUCGGCCUGCGCGGAAGAUGUAACGGGGCUAAACCAUGCACCGAAGCUGCGGCAGCGACACUCAGGUGUUGUUGGGUAGGGGAGCGUUCUGUAAGCCUGUGAAGGUGGCCUGUGAGGGUUGCUGGAGGUAUCAGAAGUGCGAAUGCUGACAUAAGUAACGAUAAAGCGGGUGAAAAGCCCGCUCGCCGGAAGACCAAGGGUUCCUGUCCAACGUUAAUCGGGGCAGGGUGAGUCGACCCCUAAGGCGAGGCCGAAAGGCGUAGUCGAUGGGAAACGGGUUAAUAUUCCCGUACUUGGUGUUACUGCGAAGGGGGGACGGAGAAGGCUAUGUUGGCCGGGCGACGGUUGUCCCGGUUUAAGCGUAUAGGUGUGUGUUCCAGGUAAAUCCGGUUCACUUUAACACUGAGGCGUGAUGACGAGGCGCUACGGUGCUGAAGCAACAAAUGCCCUGCUUCCAGGAAAAGCCUCUAAGCAUCAGGUAACAUCAAAUCGUACCCCAAACCGACACAGGUGGUCAGGUAGAGAAUACCAAGGCGCUUGAGAGAACUCGGGUGAAGGAACUAGGCAAAAUGGUGCCGUAACUUCGGGAGAAGGCACGCUGACAUGUAGGUGAAGUGAUUUACUCACGGAGCUGAAGUCAGUCGAAGAUACCAGCUGGCUGCAACUGUUUAUUAAAAACACAGCACUGUGCAAACACGAAAGUGGACGUAUACGGUGUGACGCCUGCCCGGUGCCGGAAGGUUAAUUGAUGGGGUCAGCGCAAGCGAAGCUCCUGAUCGAAGCCCCGGUAAACGGCGGCCGUAACUAUAACGGUCCUAAGGUAGCGAAAUUCCUUGUCGGGUAAGUUCCGACCUGCACGAAUGGCGUAAUGAUGGCCAGGCUGUCUCCACCCGAGACUCAGUGAAAUUGAACUCGCUGUGAAGAUGCAGUGUACCCGCGGCAAGACGGAAAGACCCCGUGAACCUUUACUAUAGCUUGACACUGAACAUUGAGCCUUGAUGUGUAGGAUAGGUGGGAGGCUUUGAAGUGUGGACGCCAGUCUGCAUGGAGCCGACCUUGAAAUACCACCCUUUAAUGUUU
rnacentral:rRNA from 1 species